AAAAUAGAGUGAGAGAGACUGUUCUUAUCAGAUUACCAGUAUUUCCUGUCUAAGAAGCUUGAAUAGUUAAGCCUUCCUCUCUCAGGGACUUAAACAGAUUUCUGAAAAAGGAAAAGUAUCUAAAAAUCUUCACAGACAAGGUCAGCUCCCAGACUGCUGCACUGUGCAACACAGUAUGGGGAGGAGGACAGUCUGCUUAGAUAUCCCAAGUGUUUCAGCAUAAGACAGAAAGCCCAGAGGAUAUGCACAUAGUGUGGCAGCAGCAGUAUAUGGCAAUGCACUCUGGAACGGGUUACAGAGGCACCGUUAGGGGGUCUCAUUGACACUGAAAAGAAACCUGUUACCACCUGUUUAGAGGAAGAGAACCAUGCACCAGCCUAGGCUGCUGGCAAGGAUGACACGCUGUUAGCCACUAUGAUUAUUAAGUACUGCAUGAACCAUGUUGUGUGUGACCUAGCAUAUAUUUAGAGACAGCCUGUCACAAAUAGUGCAGUCAGCGUUGUAGUAGUGAAUGGCCAGUGAAAUGUCAGGGACACUGUUCUGUUAUUUCACUGAGUGAGGGUGGUUCUCUCCAGGAAAGGGCUGAGGGUGGGUCAGAUAGUGAGAACAAUUUGUUGGCAUUUCAUAUCCCAUUUUGAUUACUUACUACUUCCUUCCUGCAUUCGCUUUCCUGUAAGCAAUUUUUGUUUGCGUGACGUUUUGGGCGGGUGCUUGUAUUCAGGAGAAUGCAAUUAGCCAUUGCAUGCCGUUCUGUGUGUUUGUGCAAACCUGUGCAAACUCCAGCCCACAGACCCUAAGAGACAUUUGAAAUAUUGUGGUUGUCAUAUAGAACAUGGUGCUUAACAAUAUAACAUGGAAGGGACUGUUCCCAAAGCUCCAGGCUACAGGCACUAACAAGGGUGUGUGACUGCACCCUUCAUAGUUAGAUCUGUGUAAUAGCCCUAACCAGACCUUAGGCAGAGAGGAAAUGAAGUGGAAAAGAAGAAUCUGGCUGUCCCCUUCACAAUUAAGGGAGAGCUUGUCAUAUACACACGUAAUUAACUGGUGUGUAUGUUACAAGAGAACAUUAAAUCUAAAGUCUUCUGAAAACAUCCAAUAAAUCUUGCUUUGAGUUGUGUGUGUGUCUUUUAUGCUCUCUCAAUCUGGAUUAAACCCCACUAUUUUAAACACUUGGGUCCAGUUCAAGAGCCAGAAUAUAAUACACUGUUUUAUGUGAAAGGUCCUUGUUAAUUUUCCUAAACCUGUUUAUCUCCUGGCCCCCUCUCUUCUUCAAGGUUCUUGUACAUGCCCUGUGAGAAGCAGCAUCUCAGUGCAUGCUUGUUUGUUAUUUAUAAAGGGUUAGUCAUCCAAUUAACUGGAUGGGGUGGAGCCUAUUUUAAAAAAACCCACACAGCUUAGUUUUAAGGAGGUUGAUUUUUCUGCUUCCAAAUGAGACAUAUGACAGUGGCAGUAACAAGGAGAUGAAGCGAACUGACAAGAUUUCCAUUCUUUUUUUAAAAAAAAAAGUCAAUCUUUUUAUAUUUUAUACAUCUGUUACUUGAUUAUCAUUGUUUGGAUACCCAGC